rnacentral:rRNA from 1 species
GAUGAACGCUGGUGGCGUGCCUAAUACAUGCAAGUCGAGCGAACAGACGAGGAGCUUGCUCCUCUGACGUUAGCGGCGGACGGGUGAGUAACACGUGGAUAACCUACCUAUAAGACUGGGAUAACUUCGGGAAACCGGAGCUAAUACCGGAUAAUAUAUUGAACCGCAUGGUUCAAUAGUGAAAGACGGUUUUGCUGUCACUUAUAGAUGGAUCCGCGCCGCAUUAGCUAGUUGGUAAGGUAACGGCUUACCAAGGCAACGAUGCGUAGCCGACCUGAGAGGGUGAUCGGCCACACUGGAACUGAGACACGGUCCAGACUCCUACGGGAGGCAGCAGUAGGGAAUCUUCCGCAAUGGGCGAAAGCCUGACGGAGCAACGCCGCGUGAGUGAUGAAGGUCUUCGGAUCGUAAAACUCUGUUAUUAGGGAAGAACAAAUGUGUAAGUAACUAUGCACGUCUUGACGGUACCUAAUCAGAAAGCCACGGCUAACUACG